AUAGGGGAGCCGUAGGGAAACCGAGUCUUAACUGGGCGAAUGAGUUGCAGGGUAUAGACCCGAAACCCGGUGAUCUAGCCAUGGGCAGGUUGAAGGUUGGGUAACACUAACUGGAGGACCGAACCGACUAAUGUUGAAAAAUUAGCGGAUGACUUGUGGCUGGGGGUGAAAGGCCAAUCAAACCGGGAGAUAGCUGGUUCUCCCCGAAAGCUAUUUAGGUAGCGCCUCGUGAACUCAUCUUCGGGGGUAGAGCACUGUUUCGGCUAGGGGGUCAUCCCGACUUACCAACCCGAUGCAAACUACGAAUACCGAAGAAUGUUAUCACGGGAGACACACGGCGGGUGCUAACGUUCGUCGUGAAGAGGGAAACAACCCAGACCGCCAGCUAAGGUCCCAAAGUCAUGGUUAAGUGGGAAACGAAGUGGGAAGGCUCAGACAGCCAGGAUGUUGGCUUAGAAGCAGCCAUCAUUUAAAGAAAGCGUAAUAGCUCACUGGUCGAGUCGGCCUGCGCGGAAGAUGUAACGGGGCUAAACCAUGCACCGAAGCUGCGGCAGCGACAUGUAAAUGUUGUUGGGUAGGGGAGCGUUCUGUAAGCCUGUGAAGGUGUGCUGCGAGGCAUGCUGGAGGUAUCAGAAGUGCGAAUGCUGACAUAAGUAACGAUAAUGCGGGUGAAAAACCCGCACGCCGGAAGACCAAGGGUUCCUGUCCAACGUUAAUCGGGGCAGGGUGAGUCGACCCCUAAGGCGAGGCAGAAAUGCGUAGUCGAUGGGAAACAGGUUAAUAUUCCUGUACUGGUGAUAAUUGCGAUGGGGGGACGGAGAAGGCUAGGCUGGCCGGGCGACGGUUGUCCCGGUUUAAGGAUGUAGGUGGGUGAAUUAGGCAAAUCCGGUUCGCUAUACACUGAGGUCUGAUGACGAGUCACUACGGUGGCGAAGUAGCUCAUGCCCCGCUUCCAGGAAAAGCCUCUAAGCUCUAGAUUAUCAUUAAUCGUACCCCAAACCGACACAGGUGGUCAGGUAGAGAAUACUCAGGCGCUUGAGAGAACUCGGGUGAAGGAACUAGGCAAAAUGGUGCCGUAACUUCGGGAGAAGGCACGCUGGCA
rnacentral:rRNA from 1 species